GAAAGAGAUCAAAAUAGCAGGGCGCCGUUCGGACCUUUUCGUCUUGGAGAGAGAUGGUGGAGAGAAGCAGUGGGCUCUUGUAAAAACAUAGAGGAAGCUUUGAGAACAUUGCGUUCCCAAUGGUUUCCAGUGAAUAUCUCAUACAAACUCCUGUUAAAGAAGAGCCUUCUUCUUCUUCAGGAGCUGAACUCUUACAAUCUCCUGAUAAAGAUGAACCUUCCUCUUCUUCUGCAGCUGAAGAUGUUCAAGAAAAUAAAAAAGAGGACAUAGAAAGUUGCAGAAAGCCAGAAAAAGACCCAUUUGCUCAUUUGAAGAAUUGGGUUCAUGAAGAGGAUAACAUCGAUGAAUGGCAACGCGAAGAUGUCGAAUGGCUCUCAUCCCGGUCUCAUUCUGAGCUGGAUAUGCUAAUCAGCAUAAAGAAAUUGGCUAAGCACCGUGCCAAAGUUGCGGGUUUUGAGGCAUUAGGUGAUACAUUUGACACAAAGUUGCUAUGUGCUACAGGAGCAUUUUUGCAGGAGUUUCUCAAGGAACGGUUAAAGAAUCGCUCUGCUAUGUCUAUGUCAGCUGAGGUUCCCGUUUGUGCUAAUGAUUUUGAGAAGUAUGAUUCAAAAGAUGGUGUUGAGAAAUUUACUACUGAUAAAGAUAUGGAUGAACAAACCAGUGAUUCUACUCCAUUGAAGAGAAAGCGAAAACGGUCAAAAGAAAAUGUCAAGCCCGAGCUGUAAGGUGGUUGUCUAGAGGCUCUGUGUUGCAGAGGCAUGCGAGAGUGUGAUUUUGCCAUCUUCUAAGCAUGGUCCCAGGAUCGAUGGUUGAGAGGGGUUAUCAUAGAGGUAUUUGGCACCAAAACUGCAUCUUUCGGCGGGGUUUGGAGGUGCACUUUAUUUUGAUGGUUCGAAGUUGAUGCCUUACGGGGAAAUUGGAAUAUACGAAGCUAGACUGUCUUUUGUACGUAAAUGGAUGGAGGAGGAGGAAAGGGCACUAUUCCUGUUUAUUUGGUCCCUCCAAAUGGACACGAGUUGUUUUCUUCUUUUGGUCUUGAAAAGGAGUAUGAUGGGCAAUAGGGUACUCUGACUAAA